rnacentral:rRNA from 1 species
UACGGAGGGGGCAAGCGUUGUUCGGAAUUACUGGGCGUAAAGGGCUCGUAGGCGGCCAUCUAAGUCGGAUGUGAAAUCCCCAGGCUUAACCUGGGAACUGCAUCCGAUACUGGAUGGCUUGAAUCCGGGAGAGGGAUGCAGAAUUCCAGGUGUAGCGGUGAAAUGCGUAGAUAUCUGGAGGAAUACCGGUGGCGGAGGCGGCAUCCUGGACCGGCAUUGGCGCUGAGUGAGCGAAAGCCAGGGGAGCAAACGGG